AAUCCUUCAUCCUCAUUAGCUAAAGUGAGCAUAAUUUGUAAUUGUUUCUCAUGAUUUACAUAGCUGCUUUGAUUUUUUGCCCAAAUAUUUACACCGAAACCAUCCAAAAUGAGCAACAGAAACCAAACCCUUCAAAUAAAUAAAUAAAUUUGAAAUAGAUCAUAUUAUAUUAUCAAAGAACAAGGAGAAAAACUAGGACAACUAGGAAACUAAAUAAAUUAGUAAAUAAAAAAAAAAAGAAGAGAACGACAGGGGAGAGGGAGUUGAAGAGGAUAGAAAUAAGAGAAAAGAAGACGCUAAAUAAAUUAAAAUGAAAACUCCUUGUUUGGUUGUUGGGUUGUUGGAAUUGGCCAUGUGAAAAAUAAGAUGCCAAAUACUAUGUAAUGGAAAUUACUUACACGAAGAACUUGUGAGUUCAAAUGUGGAAAACUUUAUAUACAUAAAACUAGGUUAGUAUUUUCUUAUUGAUUUUAUGUUUAAGUUACAAGGUUAGAAUCUAGGGGCACUAAUGCUGAAGCAUGAAAGAAGCCACAAAGGUUUGGUCUGUAUUAUAUCUAGUCCACCUUUCCUAGCUUCUGUAAUUAACAGGGCAAACAUGAAUAUCCUCAUAAAUCAGCCUUCAAGUUAUUAUUAGUUACACAUGAGAUAUACCAUUUAUUUGGUACAUAUGAGUAGUGGAAUUAUAUUUGGUAAUCUUCUGAACUAUGUGAAAUGAUACUCAUGGUUCCUCUGCUUGAAUUAGGUUAGGGCUGCUUGCAAGUCCUUGCCCUUGACAUUGUACCUUUACUUUUGUUAAGUUUUGACCCUGAACUAUUUAAAUUGCUAUUAAACUUCUUUGACUGUUCUAUUCUUACUGUUAUACAGGAGAAGGAACAGUCUGCUCUUCGUGCACAGAGCAACCCUGUUAGAAGCAGCAAAAGCCAGGCUAAGAUUACUGAAGAAAGCGUGCCCAAGACUGUGAAGUUCCAACCCUUCAUCCAAGAAGAAGCCUUAGUUAGUAUACACAAUGAUGUUUUCCCAAGUACAGCAGAGCAAUUCUUUGGGUCUUUCUUUGAGGGAUGUUUUAGAGCUGAAGGAGGCUGUUAAAAUUAAAGAUGGUGAAUCGGAGGCUUAUAUUUCUGAAAUUGAGGUCUGAUGAUUAUGUUUAAGUCCUCAGAUAACCAUACUAUUAGUCAAGCAUAUGAAGAUAUGCAGACACAAAACCAACAUUUGUUGCAGCAGGUGGCUGAAAGGGAUGAUUAUAAUAUCAAGGCCAAGCAAUUCAGCAAGAGGUUAAUUUAUUUAGUUGCAACAGAACACUUACCAAAGCAAGUUGAAGAAUCCAAAAUGGACAUGCCCAAAGAAAUUUUUCUUAAAGAUUACAAGGUGCCUGAUUACUACUUUUGUAUGGAAUUAUUAUUUUAGAUUGGAAUAUA